GGGCCCGUGGCGCAGUCCGGAAGCGCGGCGGCCUUCUAAGCCGUAGGUCCCGGGUUCAAAUCCCGGCGGGCCCG
rnacentral:tRNA from 1 species